rnacentral:rRNA from 1 species
UACGAGAGGUGCAAGCGUUAUUCGGAAUUAUUGGGCGUAAAGGGUGCGUAGACGGUUUGUUUAGUCUGUUGUUAAAUCUUUCGGCUUAACCGAAAAUAUGCAAUGGAUACUGGCAAGCUAGAGUGUGAAAGAGAGAAGUGGAAUUCUUGGAGUAGCGGUAAAAUGCGUAGAUCUCAAGAGGAACACCGAUGGCGAAGGCAGCUUCUUGGUUCACUACUGACGUUGAGGCACGAAAGCGUGGGGAGCAAACAGG